rnacentral:rRNA from 1 species
AGCGUACACGGUGGAUGCCCUGGCAGUCAGAGGCGAUGAAGGACGUGCUAAUCUGCGAUAAGCGUCGGUAAGGUGAUAUGAACCGUUAUAACCGGCGAUUUCCGAAUGGGGAAACCCAGUGUGUUUCGACACACUAUCAUUAACUGAAUCCAUAGGUUAAUGAGGCGAACCGGGGGAACUGAAACAUCUAAGUACCCCGAGGAAAAGAAAUCAACCGAGAUUCCCCCAGUAGCGGCGAGCGAACGGGGAGCAGCCCAGAGCCUGAAUCAGUGUGUGUGUUAGUGGAAGCGUCUGGAAAGGCGCGCGAUACAGGGUGACAGCCCCGUACACAAAAAUGCACAUACUGUGAGCUCGAUGAGUAGGGCGGGACACGUGGUAUCCUGUCUGAAUAUGGGGGGACCAUCCUCCAAGGCUAAAUACUCCUGACUGACCGAUAGUGAACCAGUACCGUGAGGGAAAGGCGAAAAGAACCCCGGCGAGGGGAGUGAAAAAGAACCUGAAACCGUGUACGUACAAGCAGUGGGAGCACGCUUAGGCGUGUGACUGCGUACCUUUUGUAUAAUGGGUCAGCGACUUAUAUUCUGUAGCAAGGUUAACCGAAUAGGGGAGCCGAAGGGAAACCGAGUCUUAACUGGGCGUUAAGUUGCAGGGUAUAGACCCGAAACCCGGUGAUCUAGCCAUGGGCAGGUUGAAGGUUGGGUAACACUAACUGGAGGACCGAACCGACUAAUGUUGAAAAAUUAGCGGAUGACUUGUGGCUGGGGGUGAAAGGCCAAUCAAACCGGGAGAUAGCUGGUUCUCCCCGAAAGCUAUUUAGGUAGCGCCUCGUGAAUUCAUCUCCGGGGGUAGAGCACUGUUUCGGCAAGGGGGUCAUCCCGACUUACCAACCCGAUGCAAACUGCGAAUACCGGAGAAUGUUAUCACGGGAGACACACGGCGGGUGCUAACGUCCGUCGUGAAGAGGGAAACAACCCAGACCGCCAGCUAAGGUCCCAAAGUCAUGGUUAAGUGGGAAACGAUGUGGGAAGGCCCAGACAGCCAGGAUGUUGGCUUAGAAGCAGCCAUCAUUUAAAGAAAGCGUAAUAGCUCACUGGUCGAGUCGGCCUGCGCGGAAGAUGUAACGGGGCUAAACCAUGCACCGAAGCUGCGGCAGCGACGCUGAUGCGUUGUUGGGUAGGGGAGCGUUCUGUAAGCCUGCGAAGGUGUGCUGUGAGGCAUGCUGGAGGUAUCAGAAGUGCGAAUGCUGACAUAAGUAACGAUAAAGCGGGUGAAAAGCCCGCUCGCCGGAAGACCAAGGGUUCCUGUCCAACGUUAAUCGGGGCAGGGUGAGUCGACCCCUAAGGCGAGGCCGAAAGGCGUAGUCGAUGGGAAACAGGUUAAUAUUCCUGUACUUGGUGUUACUGCGAAGGGGGGACGGAGAAGGCUAUGUUGGCCGGGCGACGGUUGUCCCGGUUUAAGCGUGUAGGCUGGUUUUCCAGGCAAAUCCGGAAAAUCAAGGCUGAGGCGUGAUGACGAGGCACUACGGUGCUGAAGCAACAAAUGCCCUGCUUCCAGGAAAAGCCUCUAAGCAUCAGGUAACAUCAAAUCGUACCCCAAACCGACACAGGUGGUCAGGUAGAGAAUACCAAGGCGCUUGAGAGAACUCGGGUGAAGGAACUAGGCAAAAUGGUGCCGUAACUUCGGGAGAAGGCACGCUGAUAUGUAGGUGAAGCGACUUGCUCGUGGAGCUGAAAUCAGUCGAAGAUACCAGCUGGCUGCAACUGUUUAUUAAAAACACAGCACUGUGCAAACACGAAAGUGGACGUAUACGGUGUGACGCCUGCCCGGUGCCGGAAGGUUAAUUGAUGGGGUCAGCGCAAGCGAAGCUCUUGAUCGAAGCCCCGGUAAACGGCGGCCGUAACUAUAACGGUCCUAAGGUAGCGAAAUUCCUUGUCGGGUAAGUUCCGACCUGCACGAAUGGCGUAAUGAUGGCCAGGCUGUCUCCACCCGAGACUCAGUGAAAUUGAACUCGCUGUGAAGAUGCAGUGUACCCGCGGCAAGACGGAAAGACCCCGUGAACCUUUACUAUAGCUUGACACUGAACAUUGAGCCUUGAUGUGUAGGAUAGGUGGGAGGCUUUGAAGUGUGGACGCCAGUCUGCAUGGAGCCGACCUUGAAAUACCACCCUUUAAUGUUUGAUGUUCUAACGUUGACCCGUGAUCCGGGUUGCGGACAGUGUCUGGUGGGUAGUUUGACUGGGGCGGUCUCCUCCUAAAGAGUAACGGAGGAGCACGAAGGUUGGCUAAUCCUGGUCGGACAUCAGGAGGUUAGUGCAAUGGCAUAAGCCAGCUUGACUGCGAGCGUGACGGCGCGAGCAGGUGCGAAAGCAGGUCAUAGUGAUCCGGUGGUUCUGAAUGGAAGGGCCAUCGCUCAACGGAUAAAAGGUACUCCGGGGAUAACAGGCUGAUACCGCCCAAGAGUUCAUAUCGACGGCGGUGUUUGGCACCUCGAUGUCGGCUCAUCACAUCCUGGGGCUGAAGUAGGUCCCAAGGGUAUGGCUGUUCGCCAUUUAAAGUGGUACGCGAGCUGGGUUUAGAACGUCGUGAGACAGUUCGGUCCCUAUCUGCCGUGGGCGCUGGAGAACUGAGGGGGGCUGCUCCUAGUACGAGAGGACCGGAGUGGACGCAUCACUGGUGUUCGGGUUGUCAUGCCAAUGGCACUGCCCGGUAGCUAAAUGCGGAAGAGAUAAGUGCUGAAAGCAUCUAAGCACGAAACUUGCCCCGAGAUGAGUUCUCCCUGACUCCUUGA